rnacentral:rRNA from 1 species
AUUGAACGCUGGCGGCAGGCCUAACACAUGCAAGUCGAGCGGCAGCGGGAAAGUAGCUUGCUACUUUUGCCGGCGAGCGGCGGACGGGUGAGUAAUGCCUGGGAAAUUGCCCAGUCGAGGGGGAUAACAGUUGGAAACGACUGCUAAUACCGCAUACGCCCUACGGGGGAAAGCAGGGGACCUUCGGGCCUUGCGCGAUUGGAUAUGCCCAGGUGGGAUUAGCUAGUUGGUGAGGUAAUGGUUCAACAAGGCGACGAUCCCUAGCUGGUCUGAGGGGAUGAUCGGCCACACGGGAACUGAGACAAGGUCCAAACGCCUAAGGGGGGCAUGAGUGGGGAAUAUUGUACAAUGGGGGAAACCCUGAUGCAGCCAUGCCGCGUGUGUGAAGAAGGCCUUCGGGUUGUAAAGCACUUUCAGCGAGGAGGAAAGGUCAGUAGCUAAUAUCUGCUGACUGUGACGUUACUCGCAGAAGAAGCACCGGCUAACUCCGUGCCAGCCGCCGCCGCAGUAA